rnacentral:rRNA from 1 species
GACAGAGGUCCCGAGCGUUAGGCGGAAUCACUGGGCUUAAAGCGUGUGUAGGCGGCGGCCUAAGUACCUUGUGAAAUCCCACGGCUCACCCGUGGAACUGCUCGGUAUACUGCUUAUCUUGGGUCAUCUAGGGGCGAGCGGAACAAACGGUGGAGCGGUGAAAUGCGUAGAUAUCGUUUGGAACGCCAAUGGUGAAAACAGCUCGCUGGGGAUGUACCGACGCUGAGACACGAAAGCCAGGGGAGCGAACGGG